rfam:Peptoclostridium acidaminophilum DSM 3953 chromosome, complete genome.
GAGACGGCAUCCGCAGGAGCCGAACUCGAUUUGAAAUCACACUAAAAUUCAAUUUCUGCUUUGAUCCUUCUGGACGGAGACUGAAGA